AGUACGUGAAACUGCUUAGAGGUUAAGCCCGAUGAACCUGAAUAUCCGUUAUGAAAAAUUCAUCACUAAUACUAUGAUAUUUAUAAUAUUAUAGAAAUAGUGUGCAAUUUUUUCAUAUAAGGACAUUGUAAUCUGUUAAUGUAAUAAAUAUUUAUUAAAAGAUCUUAUACACAAGUUUAUUCAAAUUAGUUAUUUUCGAAUUUCUAACAUAGAAUAAAUGUAUUUGAUUUAAUAAAUCAUUGACAGAUUUAAUUAUAAUAUAGUGCUUAAAUUUUGAACGAAAUUUUACAAUAAUAUGAUAAUUCAAUUUAUUAUGUUUAUUGUAUGCGCUUAUAUGAUUAACAAUGCGAUAGAUUCAGGAUACCUUCGGGACCCGUCUUGAAACACGGACCAAGGAGUCUAACAUAUGUGCAAGUCAUUGGGUAUUUUUAAUAAAACCCAAUGGCAUAAUUAACUUAACUGUUUUUUAAAUGGGAUUAGUUUAUAUUUUAUUAUGAAAUAUUAAUUCAAUCCCGGGGCGUUCUAUAUAGUUAUACAUAAUGAUAUUUAUAUUAUUUAUGCCUCUAACU
rnacentral:rRNA from 1 species